UACGGAGGGUGCAAGCGUUGUUCGGAAUUAUUGGGCGUAAAGCGCGCGCAGGCGGUCUGGAAAGUCUAUGGGUGAAAUGCCGGGGCUCAACCCCGCGCAUGCCCAGGAUACUGUCAGACUGGAGACACGUAGAGGCAAGCGGAAUUUCGGGUGUAGCGGUGAAAUGCGUAGAGAUCGGGAAGAACAUCGGUGGCGAAAGCGCUCUACUGGACCGCAACUGGCACUCAGGGACGAAAGCUAGGGGAGCGAAUGGG
rnacentral:rRNA from 1 species